ACUUGAGUGUGAGUGUUUGUAGGAUGCUAUCUGUGGGUUGUUUGUAAUGUUAAUUUGUCUGCAUGUUGCGAUAGAACCUGUAGUAAAUAUUUUGUUUGUUUGAGUGCUAACUUCUGAUAUCAUUAUUGAAAUGGUUGUAGAAAAUAAGCUCGGUGCUGAAGAUACACUAGGAGACAAUGCAAAAUCUAAAAAAGCACUGAAGAAAGAAGCAAAAAGUGCUGCAAAAAUAGCAAAGAAGGAAGAAAAGAAGACACUUGAUGAAGGCCAGCAGGAGGGCGAUGCGGAGGACUGCUCCGUGGGCAGGUACGGCGUGCCGGGGCUGGUCCAGAGCUCGGAGCAGCCGGCGCGGGCCUUCGCGCACGUGCGGGAGCUGGCGGAGCCGCUGGCGGAGCGGGCCGUGUGGGUCCGCGCGCGCCUGCACACCAGCCGCGCCAAGGGCAAGCAGUGCUUCGCCGUCUUGCGCCAGCAGGAGUACACGGUGCAGUGCGUCAUCGCCGUGGGCGACCGCGUCAGCAGGCAGAUGGUCAAGUUCGUCUCCAAUGUGACCAAGGAGUCGUUAGUGGACGUGGAGGCGGAGGUGCGCGCGGUGCCGCGCAGGAUAGAGGCGUGCAGCCAGAAGCUGGUGGAGCUGCACGCGCUGCAGUUCUUCGUGGUGAGCGCGGCCAGGAGCCAGCUGCCGCUGCUGAUAGAGGACGCCUCUCGCCCGGUCAAGGAUGAGGAGGAGUUGGAGGGUCUGAACAUCCGAGUGAACCAGGACACGAGACUGGAUAAUCGUGUGCUAGACCUUCGCACCCCGGCCAAUCAGGCGAUCUUCAGACUUGAGGCUGGAGUCUGUCGACUGUUCAGAGACAUCCUCACGGAGAAGGGGUUCGUGGAGAUCCACACGCCCAAGAUAAUCUCGGCGGCCAGCGAGGGCGGGGCCAACGUGUUCACGGUGUCCUACUUCAAGGGCUCCGCCUACCUGGCCCAGAGCCCGCAGUUGUACAAGCAGAUGGCCAUCGCGGCCGACUUCGACAAGGUCUUCACGGUCGGCGCAGUGUUCAGAGCAGAGGACAGCAACACGCACCGUCACCUCACCGAGUUUGUCGGCCUGGACCUGGAGAUGGCGUUCAAGUACCACUACCACGAAGUCCUGGACACGAUCGGAGACACGUUCACGGAGAUGUUCAAGGGGCUGCGCGACCAGUUCGGCGGUGAGAUAGCGGCGGUGGGGCAGCAGUUCCCCGUGGAGCCGUUCAAGUUCCUGGACCCGCCCUUGAAGCUGGAGUUCCCCGUGGCGGUGGCCAUGCUGCGCGAGGCAGGGGUGACCAUGGGCGACGAGGACGACCUCAGCACGCCCGACGAGAAGCUACUUGGCCGCCUCGUCAAGGCCAAGUAUGACACAGACUUCUACAUACUGGACAAAUACCCGCUGGCUGUUCGGCCAUUCUACACAAUGCCUGACCCUUCAGACAGUAAAAAGUCCAAUUCAUACGACAUUUUCAUGAGGGGUGAAGAAAUUAUGUCUGGAGCACAGAGGAUACACGACCCUGAAUUUCUCACCGAGAGAGCCAAGCAUCACGGAGUUGACUUGGAGAAGAUCAAGGCUUACAUAGAUGCGUUCCGGUUCGGCUGCCCUCCGCACGCGGGCGGCGGCAUAGGCCUGGAGCGGGUGGUGAUGCUGUACCUCGGCCUCGACAACAUUCGCAAGACCUCGAUGUUCCCUCGUGACCCCAAGAGGAUCACGCCGUAACAACCAGUCGCUCCUGCCGUACACCGUCGUAGUGAACUUCCACGGUUCGCUGUGAAUACUUUAUCGCUGCUUGAUAUGAUCGGUGCCCAAAUGAAGCACAGAUUAAAGUAUCACGCUCGUCACCACGUAGUUCCGCAGCACCGGCAGCGGCCGUGGCUCACUGGAGUUCUGGACGGAGGAAGGGGAGGCGGGAGGAAAGGACAUGCAGCCAGCGAAAGGACGGGAGGACCCUACGAGGCAAGUCAGGGACGGGACGGCGUGGGCUGCAGGCAGCGAGUACGUACUCUGGCC